rnacentral:rRNA from 1 species
UACGUAGGGGGCAAGCGUUGUCCGGAUUUAUUGGGCGUAAAGAGCUCGUAGGCGGUUUGGUAAGUCUGGUGUGAAAUCUCCACGCUCAACGUGGAGGGCCACCCGAUACUGCCAUGACUGGAGUCCGGUAGAGGAGUGUGGAAUUCCCGGUGUAGCGGUGAAAUGCGCAGAUAUCGGGAGGAACACCCGUAGCGAAGGCGGCA